rnacentral:rRNA from 1 species
GACGAACGCUGGCGGCGUGCUUAACACAUGCAAGUCGAACGAUGAAGCCGGAGCUUGCUCUGGUGAAUUAGUGGCGAACGGGUGAGUAAUACGUGAGUAACCUGCCCUUGACUCUGGGAUAACUGCUAGAAAUGGUAGCUAAUACCGGAUACGACCCUCGGAGGCAUCUCCAGGGGGUGGAAAGAAUUUCGGUCAAGGAUGGACUCGCGGCCCAUCAGCUAGUUGGUGAGGUAACGGCUCACCAAGGCGACGACGGGUAGCCGGCCUGAGAGGGUGACCGGCCACACUGGGACUGAGACACGGCCCAGACUCCUACGGGAGGCAGCAGUGGGGAAUAUUGCACAAUGGGCGCAAGCCUGAUGCAGCAACGCCGCGUGAGGGAUGACGGCCUUCGGGUUGUAAACCUCUUUUAGUAGGGAAGAAGCGAAAGUGACGGUACCUGCAGAAAAAGCACCGGCUAACUACGUGCCAGCAGCCGCGGUAA